rnacentral:rRNA from 1 species
UGCAAGUCGUGCGGACCUUUUAAAAGCUUGCUUUUAAAAGGUUAGCGGCGGACGGGUGAGUAACACGUGGGCAACCUGCCUGUAAGACUGGGAUAACGCCGGGAAACCGGGGCUAAUACCAGAUCGUUUUUUCCUCCGCAUGGAGGAAAAAGGAAAGGCGGCUUCGGCUGCCACUUACAGAUGGGCCCGCGGCGCAUUAGCUAGUUGGCGGGGUAACGGCCCACCAAGGCAACGAUGCGUAGCCGACCUGAGAGGGUGAUCGGCCACAUUGGGACUGAGACACGGCCCAGACUCCUACGGGAGGCAGCAGUGGGGAAUAUUGCACAAUGGGCGCAAGCCUGAUGCAGCGACGCCGCGUGGGGGAUGACGGCCUUCGGGUUGUAA